UAAAAAAUUAUUAUUAGAGAAUAUUUAAUCUACUCAAAAAAUUUUUUUAUAAAAUUAAUUAAUUAGAAGGAACUCGGCAUUUAAUGCUCCGCCUGUUUAUCAAAAACAUGGCUCUUUGUAAACAAAAAAUAAAGAGUCGGGCCUGCCCAGUGAAUUUUCAACGGCCGCGGUACUCUGACCGUGCAAAGGUAGCAUAAUCAUUUGCCUUAUAAUUGAAGGCUAGUAUGAAUGGUUUGACGAGAGCAAUACUGUCUCCUUAUUAUUUUCAAGAACUUAACUUUUAGGUGAAGAGGCCUAAAUUUUAUUGAAGGACAAGAAGACCCUGUCGAGCUUAAAAGAUUAUAUAGGAGUCUAUAUAUCUUUAGAUAAAUUUCUAUUGAGCUUUUUAGUUGGGGCGACUGAGGAACAAAAAAAGCUUCUUUUUAAAAAAUAAACAAUCAUGUUUAGAUCCGGUAGUAGCGAUUAAGGAAAUUAGUUACCGCAGGGAUAACAGCAUAAUCUCUCUUGAGAGACCUAAUCGAAAGAGGGGGUUGUGACCUCGAUGUUGGACUAGAA
rnacentral:rRNA from 1 species